UUUGGGCCAAAGAGGCCACCGUUGAGGGGGCGUGGCGACGCCGACGGCAAAGACGGCCUGUGUUCACGUGCCUCUGCGGACCCGCUCCCUAGAUCAACCAUGGCCCAGCCCGGGACCCUGAACCUCAAUAACGAGGUUGUGAAGAUGAGAAAAGAAGUGAAGAGAAUCCGAGUUUUGGUUAUCCGAAAACUUGUCAGAAGUGUUAGCAGACUGAAGUCAAAAAAGGGUACUGAAGAUGCGCUGUUAAAAAACCAAAGGCGGGCACAACGAUUGCUUGAAGAAAUUCAUGCCAUGAAGGAGUUGAAACCUGAUAUAGUAACUAAAUCUGCUCUUGGUGAUGAUAUCAAUUUUGAAAAAAUCUGCAAAAAGCCUGAAUCUACUGCGACUGAAAGAGCAAUUGCCAGAUUAGCAAUGCACCCUCUUCUGAAGAAAAAAAUAGAUAUGCUUAAAGCUGCCGUCAAAGCCUUCAAAGAUGCAAGACAGAAUGAUGCUGAAGUUAAGUCAUCAAGGAAUGCUUCAGAAGAAAAUCAUUCCAAGGACACUUCAUGUUCAGAUGAUAAUGCCAUUAAGUUGCAGCAUAAAAGUGCUAUUAUCAGUGAGCAAAAAGACAAGGAAGCCAAAAUAUUAGCAAAGAAACCAAUAAAUAGUUCAAAAGAAAAAGUAGUCAAGAUGGAACAUGGACUCAAAACAGUGGAUAUUCCAAAUUCUCCAUCACAGCCUUCUGAAAAGGAUCCUGUAGUUCCCUCUGGACUGCAGAAGAUGCCUGCUGACCCCAAAAUGAAAACAUUAAGUCAAAACCAAGAAAAGAAAGCCUUUGAUAGUUCACUUGGUGAUAACAGUGAUGGAGAAGAAUCACAUGAAGAAGAGAAGGAAUAUUUUGAUGAUAGCACAGAGGAAAGGUUUUACAAACAGUCUUCCAUGUCUGAGGAUAGUGAUAGUGGAGAUGACUUCUUCAUUGGGAAAGUCAGACGGACACGAAAGAAGGAAAGUAAUUGUCCUUCUUCAGUUUUGGAACAAAAAUCUCCCAAAAAAGUGUUCCCUGAAGAAGAUAUACUUGAAACCCAUGAGAGUAUAAGAAAUGACAGAAACAAGCCAAGUACAGAAGCAAGGAAGUUUGAAUCAGUGUUUUUCCAUUCUUUAUCUGGAUCUAAAAGCUCUAGAAGAAAUUACAGAGAACAGGCUCCAAAAAGCAACACCCCAGGUUUUCAGCAAAAUGACCCUCAACUCAAAAAUCAGUUUAUUAAGAAUGCACCAAGACGACCAGAAAAUACAAAACAGCAGACACAGCUGCCUCUUCAUCCUUCAUGGGAAGCAAGCAGGAGGCGAAAAGAGCAGCAAUCUAAAAUUGCUGUGUUUCAGGGGAAAAAAAUUACGUUUGAUGAUUAAUUAGUACCUCUUUUUGUGAACUUUUCCAUCUAAAAAAUUGUUUUCCUUCUUUUUGUUUUUUACCAGCCCAUUAUUUAAACUCUCAUUUGGAUAAGUCUUUUUGGAGGAGUUGGGAGUCUGUGGAUGUGGAGGGCCGACUGCAUUGAUCUAUGUAUGCCAUUUUAUAUAGAGGACCUGUGAAUUUUGGUAUCCAUGGAGAAGAAGGGAUUCUGGAACUGAUUUUUUUUUUUUUUUUGGAUUGAUGAAUGUGUGCUGGAAUUGGAUGGUGGUGGUGGCUCAGUUUUCUCAGUAUACAAAACCCCACUGAAUUGUGCACUUUAAAAUGUGAAUAUUAUGGUAUGUGAAUUGUAUCUCAAUUUAAAAAAAAAAUAAUAAAGUUAUCUGGGUUUGUGCUUUCUCCCUCCUUUUUUCUAUGUAGUACUUCAUUUGAAAUGUAAUUUUGGUCAUAUGUUUCUGAUGGUAUAUAAUUUUAAGUAUUCGUCCUUCUUUCUUGCUAAUUUGACUCAUUUUUUUCUUUAUGUAUGUAAAACAUUAACAUUUUCUACAAGUCAAAGCCACACAAUGCACUCUUCUCAGAGAAUUGGCAACUCCCUACUUUCCACCUCAUCCCCAUACAUUCCCUUUAGAUAAUCAAUCUCAUUAGUCCCCGGUGUAUCUUUGCUGUGUUCACUUGCACAAAUGAACACAUGUAUGCACAUUUUGUUAUUUCCUCUUUUUUAUACAAAAUUUAGCAUUCCCUAGAUGCUUUUAUGAACUUUGCUAUUUUUCAUUAAAAAUAUAUCCUGGAAAUCACUGAAAAUCUGUUCAUUAAAAUCUUCAUUUAAAACAAAACAAACUUUAUCGUAUUU